GUUCCUGUAGUUGAAAAUAACAACAGCGGCUUUUCAAGCCGCAGGUCUCGGAUAGUGGCCGAGCAGGAAUA
rnacentral:tRNA from 1 species